UUUUACUCAAGUGUUGAUUCCCUAACUGUGGCCUGCUUUUGUUGUCUCCUUAGCUUUAUUUUAAAGUCUCUUUUGGGGGCUCAACACAUACUCUUAGAGGAGCCUUUUGGGACACUGCUUAUCAUCUAUAGGUUCAAUAGUGUUCUCCUGUACUGGUUGUUUGAGCUUCAUAAUUCUCUCUUAUAUUUGCUUGGCUCUACCACACACACUCCCCCCUCUCUCUCUCUCUCUCUCUCUCUCUCUCUCUCUCUCUCUCUACAUCCUUUUCUCACUCUCUCUCUUUCACCUGUUAAGGAUCGAUCAUGACCUAGAUCUAUUGCAAGAUGGUGUGAGGAAUGAGGCAGAGGCAUAAAUAUUUUGUUGGCCACAGUGGAAUGAAUUAAAUUCUCUUUGGUGGCAUAGUUNCUCUCUCUCUCUCUCUCUCUCUCUCUCUCUCUCUCUCUACAUCCUUUUCUCACUCUCUCUCUUUCACCUGUUAAGGAUCGAUCAUGACCUAGAUCUAUUGCAAGAUGGUGUGAGGAAUGAGGCAGAGGCAUAAAUAUUUUGUUGGCCACAGUGGAAUGAAUUAAAUUCUCUUUGGUGGCAUAGUUCCCUUAUAUAGCUUCUGUUGAUUUAGGAACCAUGUAGUUUGCUAUGUCAAGCUACAAUAUGUUUCUCUUUGGGACUUCAUCUAUAGAAGAACAUGCAGUGACCAACUUAUUCACAUGGCCAGAUCCUUACUGUACAUACAACAUUUUAAAAUACUC
rnacentral:lncRNA from 1 species